rnacentral:rRNA from 1 species
UUUAAAACCUCUUUAGAUUGGAGGAAAAUCUWUAGGGGUAAUCCCUAAUGAUUAACCUWUAAUAGAGGAAGGAASGGNCWAGAUUGAGUCMGAAGACCCGGCAAGAAGAAACCCUCMAAASWUWAUUSGAAAUWUCUKGUCUWAAGGGNGKSAAGGAGGKCUUGNAAGAUUGGNGUKAAAAUCCCUCGGCUCAACCGAGGAACUGCGCUCAAAACUGCCAGGCUAGAGRAAGAUAGAGGUGAGCGGAACUAAUGGUGGAGCGGUGAAAUGCGUUGAUAUCAUUAGGAACACCUGUGGCGAAAGCGGCUCACUGGGUCUUUUCUGACGCUGAGGCACGAAAGCUAGGGUAGCGAACGGGAUUAGAUACCCCGGUAGUCCUAGCCGUAAACGAUGAGCGCUAGGUUGGAGGCUCCUUCAUAGGCUUCCGACCGAAGCGAAAGUGUUAAGUSUCCGCCUGGGGAGUAUGGUCGCAAGGCUGAAACUCAAAGGAAUUGACGGGGGCUCACACAAGCGGUGGAGGAUGUGGCUUAAUUCGAGGAUACGCGAAGAACCUUAUCCUGGUCUUGACAUGUACGGAUGGGCUGCCUGAAAGGGAUAGUCCCUGCCUUCGGGUGAAACGUACACAGGUGCUGCAUGGCCGUCGUCAGCUCGUGUCGUGAGAUGUCGGGUUAAGUCCCUUAACGAGCGAAACCCUUGUUCCUAGUUGCCAGCACAUAAUGGUGGGGACUCUAGGGAGACUGCCGGUGUUAAACCGGAGGAAGGUGGGGAUGACGUCAGGUCCUCAUGGCCUUUAUGACCAGGGCUGCACACGUCCUACAAUGCGGUGUACAGAGGGAAGCAAACUCGCGAGAGCAAGCAAAUCCCAAAAAGCACCGCCCAGUUCGGAUUGCAGGCUGCAACUCGCCUGCAUGAAGCCGGAAUCGCUAGUUAUCGUGGGUCAGCAUACCACGGUGAAUAUGUUCCUGAGCCUUGUACACACCGCCCGUCAAGCCACGAAAGUGGGGGGCAUCCGAAGUCGCCAAGCUAACCGUAAGGAGGCAGGCGCCUAAGAUGAACUCUGCGAUUGGGACUAAGUCGUAACAAGGUAGCCG